rnacentral:misc_RNA from 1 species
UCCGGCUUGUCACCGGCAGUUCCUCCAGAGUCCCCGGCAUUAUCCGCUGGCAACUAGGGACAGGGGUUGCGUUCGUUGCGGGACUUAACCCAACAUCUCACGACACGAGCUGACGACAGCCAUGCAGCACCUGUGUUCCCGUUCCCUUUCGGGCACAGCCCCCUUUCAGGGGCCUCCAGGACAUGUCAAGGGUAGGUAAGGUUUUUCGCGUUGCAUCGAAUUAAUCCACAUAAUCCACCGCUUGUGCGGGUCCCCGUCAAUUCCUUUGAGUUUAGGCCUUGCGGCCGUACUCCCCAGGCGGUCAACUUCACGCGUUAGCUUCGUUACCAAGGAAUUACUUCCCCGACAACCAGUUGACAUCGUUUAGGGCGUGGACUAC